AGAGAACUGUGUCACACGCUGGUGCAGGAUGCGGGAGCAUCUGGAUCCAUCACCGCCCAGCUCUUCCCCAAGUGUCUGGGAUUUGGCCUUUCUGGAUUCUGCCUCUGUCUCUCCAGCUGUGCCCUCUCAGGCUCCCGUGGAGCGGAAGCCCCAACCCAGAACUCCAGACUCCCUGUGUCCAAUGGCCUGGUGGAUGCCUCUCCCUGAAUAUCCCACAGCAGAGGGGGGCCAAGGGUUGCUACGUACCUGGAGAUGGAGUUCUCUGAUGCGAUGUCCUUUGGGGUCCGGACUGUUGUGAAGGUUCAUCCAGUUCCACGCCCACCCACUGGCCGCUGGCGAACUCCGUGGUCCCGCAGAACCGCAGCGUGCCCGUCUGAGGAAACAAGGG